AUGAUCAGAAAGAAAAGGUCUCUGCAGCUACGACUGCCACCCAGUCUGUCUGGAUCAGGGCUGGAGGACUUUCUGGUGGAGGAAACAAUGAAAACAAGGCUGAAGAGAGCGGCGUGUUUAGAGCAGGAGGUUUUUGUACAGCCAGUAAACCAGUUUGUAUCACUGUGGUACACUUUUGGUGGAGGAACCAAACUGUCAGUUGGAAGUGUGACCGCGCCCACCCUCACGGUCCUGCCCCCCUCCAGCGUGGAGCUGCAGCAGGGGAAGGCCACACUCGUGUGUUUGGCCAACAAGGGCUUCCCCUCAGACUGGAGGCUGAGCUGGAAGGUGGACGGGAGCAGCUGGAGCUCUGGAGUUAGUCAGAGCCCCGGGCUUCUGCAGAAGGACAACGGCCUCUACAGCUGGAGCAGCACCCUGACCCUCCAGGAGGACCAGUGGCUAAAGAAGACAGUGACCUGUGAGGCCACCAAGGACUCCCAGCCUCCUGUCAGCCAAACCCUGAGGAGAGAGCAAUGCACUGGGCAGUGAGCGUCCACGUGUGUGUUGGAGCUGCUAGAGCUCCUCUUGAUCUUCAUUGAGCUCAAACAUGGCUCUGCUUAAUGCUCUGAUCUUCAUCUCAUCACUUCAUCAUCACAAUAAAGAGCUUCAGUAUUAAUAUCUGCAGUCUUUCCUUGUUUAUUGUGUUAUUUUCUUUAUACUCAACCAGCAACAAUAAACAUGUAAACAUUU